rnacentral:rRNA from 1 species
GACGAACGCUGGCGGCGUGCCUAAUACAUGCAAGUAGAACGCUGAAGGAGGGGCUUGCUUCUCUGGAUGAGUUGCGAACGGGUGAGUAACGCGUAGGUAACCUGCCUGGUAGCGGGGGAUAACUAUUGGAAACGAUAGCUAAUACCGCAUAAGAGUAGAUGUUGCAUGACAUUUGCUUAAAAGGUGCAAUUGCAUCACUACCAGAUGGACCUGCGUUGUAUUAGCUAGUUGGUGGGGUAACGGCUCACCAAGGCGACGAUACAUAGCCGACCUGAGAGGGUGAACGGCACAAGUGGGACUGAGAAACGGCCCAGACUCCAAAGGGAGGCAGCAGGAGGGAAUCUUCGGAAAUGGACGGAAGUGUGACCGAGCAACGCCGGGGGAGUGAAAAAGGUUUUCGGAUCGAAAAGCUGUGUUGAAAGAGAAGAACGGGGGGGAGAGUGGAAAGUUAACACGGUGACGGUAUUUUACCAGAAAGGGACGGCUAAAUACGU